GCCUGCUUCUCCUCCAACGCCUCCGCCGCGGCCAUCGGUCUCGAGUCGGCGGCGAAGCGUCACGACUUCGGGUCGAGCGUGGACCGCUGUCUCGCUUAAAUGCGGAGGGAGUUGCAGCCGGAAGUUACGAGCGGGGGGCUUCAUCACUUGGGAUGGGUGCAGGUGACAUGUGGAUUUUGCAGCAGCAUGGGGACAAUGCUGCAGCUUUUCAAAUAAAGCUCAUAGACUGCUGCAACACCAAAGCAGUUGUUCUGCACAAAAUAAUAAUAAUAAUAAUAAUAAUAAUAAUAAUUAGAUAGAAUAUAAAUAAUUUCUUUAAAGAAAUAAGUUUAACUUAAUUUUGGUCUGCGUAGUUGGGGUGGUGACAGCGAAGCAAGUGGGUACGAGUACAAGAGGACACGUGUGUGGCAGAGGCAUUUAGUCAAUGGUGGGCCCUGGGGGUCUUCAUCCCUGAGUCGUACAUGGCGCUGCGUCCUCUGCAUCUGGGUCUGAGUUAAAGGAGGGCCAUAAAGAUGCUGCCACAUGUACUUUCUCAGUUACACCACAUUUUACUGUCCCCUCUUUUACCUGCUAAAAAUGUACCACGUGGAGUUGGCUUUGAUAAUCUAAUCUUACUUUUCUUGCAAUUAAAAUAUUUAAAACUAAAAUAAUAUAUCAUUCUUUAUUUUUAAAUAUUAUGUUUAUUGAAAUUUAGAAAUCAAUCCUCCUUUUCUUGUGGAGAAUGAUGAUGGUAAUGAGAUGGCUUAUGUUAAUGAAAAGAAAAAAAAUCGGGGAUGUUUAGAAAAUAUUAUUUAUGUUUGUAUGUAUAUUUUUUUUUUAUUUUUAGCUAGUAUUUAAAAAUCAUUUAUCAUAUAAAUAAUUGUCAAUUCCACUCUGAACCUUAGUAGGCCAAUUGGGCUAAACAGGUCCACUGGGCCACCGUAAGCCUGUAAACUCCUUGGUAGCAUCAUAUACCGUUGCCCCCCCCCCCAAACCAACCCCGCUUUUGGGAAUCUACUACUCUUCGUUCCGUUGUGUUCCCCAUUCCCGAAACCCUAACCCGAAGGUAGCGGCGGCGCGAUGACGAGGGGAUGCUGGGCAAGGGGAUGCUGCCCCCUUGAUUGACGUCACCCAAUUUGGGUACUUCAAGGUGCUGGGCAAGGGGAUGCUGCCCCCGGAUUGCCCCGUUGUCGUCAAGGCCAAGUUGGUGUCGAAGAUCGCCGAGAAGAAGAUCAAGGCCGCCGGUGGCGCUGUCGUGCUCACUGCUUGACUCACGGAUCAAUUUGGAUUUGCUGAGGUGGAGAGUUAAUGUUUGUGUUCUAUCUUAUCUGCAAUUGCAAUUGCUGAUAGUAUAGUUGAGUUUGUAGACUUUGAAGAUUAUAUCCAUUUUAUCUGAAUGAAGAAUGUUUGUGUAA